rnacentral:rRNA from 1 species
CCUACGGGGGGCUGCAGUGGGGAAUAUUGGACAAUGGGGGGAACCCUGAUCCAGCCAUGCCGCGUGUGUGAAGAAGGCCCUCGGGUUGUAAAGCACUUUCAGUGAGGAAGAACGCCUGGUGGUUAAUACCCAUCAGGAAAGACAUCACUCACAGAAGAAGCACCGGCUAACUCCGUGCCAGCAGCCGCGGUAAUACGGAGGGUGCGAGCGUUAAUCGGAAUUACUGGGCGUAAAGCGCGCGUAGGUGGCUUGAUAAGCCGGUUGUGAAAGCCCCGGGCUCAACCUGGGAACGGCAUCCGGAACUGUCAAGCUAGAGUGCAGGAGAGGAAGGUAGAAUUCCCGGUGUAGCGGUGAAAUGCGUAGAGAUCGGGAGGAAUACCAGUGGCGAAGGCGGCCUUCUGGACUGACACUGACACUGAGGUGCGAAAGCGUGGGUAGCAAACAGGAUUAGAUACCCUAGUAGU